UACGGAGGGUGCAAGCGUUAUCCGGAUUCACUGGGUUUAAAGGGUGCGUAGGAGGGCAGGUAAGUCAGUGGUGAAAUCCCCGAGCUUAACUUGGGAACUGCCGUUGAUACUAUCUGUCUUGAAUAUUGUGGAGGUAAGCGGAAUAUGUCAUGUAGCAGUGAAAUGCUUAGAUAUGACAUAGAACACCAAUUGCGAAGGCAGCUUGCUACACAACUAUUGACUCUGAUGCACGAAAGCGUGGGGAUCAAACAGG
rnacentral:rRNA from 1 species